rnacentral:lncRNA from 1 species
GUGGCGGUAGUGUGCCAACAAGUUUGCCAAACGCCAAUAAACGCAUGCAGAAGAAGAAUAAUUUAACUAAUUAAUUCCUGUUAAACGGGGGACAAAUCAUUGCUUGUUUGUCAGCUGUGUAACUACUUCACCAGAAUUGCUCAACAUCUUGUAAAAUUUUGCAACAAAAAAUAAGAAGUUUAAGAUCAGUCAUUGUUGAUAAGUGUUGCAGGAAAGUCAAGAUUAACAGACGAGUGGGAAAUCAAAGACUGGAUGAACGCUGGGGAAACUGACGGAGAGGUGAGCUCUGGAAAGGAGGAAGGAUACUUCCUGUUCCUACUGGAGUGACCCGCAGGUCUGAGGAGGAGUGAGGGAGUGAGAGAGAAGGCGGAGGAAGCGAAAUUGGAGAAAAAACACCUUGUGAAACCUGCUGUGGAAGUAAAAGUACCCAUUGUGUGUGGAGCAAUGUUGUAAUAGACAAACAAGGACAAAAAUCUGCAUCUAAUCCUCUCAGGUGAGCAAUGACUCGGACCUGCAGAGUUAGCUGGAUGUCUGGUUCUCUUGGCUUCAGCCUGGAAAAGUGCUGAUUGUGGAAGGGUUGCUGGAGGAGCUCUCUCUUGGGCAGAUGGUGAGGAGACAGGGGGAGUUUUCACCCUGCUGCUUAGCCAACAGGGACACACACACACAGACGCAUUCACAUACGGCACACCCACACAGGAAACAUUAGAACAACCAUUUGUCAUAGUCUUUCAUUUCGACGGAGGAGUUCUUUUGUUGUUGGAAAUAAGCCGUGUUGAGUUUAUUAUUAUCUUCCUCUGAGUCAGUACGUUUAAGGGUUCAGCAGACACCUCUCGCGAUGGUGAUGGGCCGCUCUUCUUUAUCUAACUGUCCACGAGCUCUUUAUAAAGAGUUACUCGCAAACUAGCCAUCAAAGAUUUCUUGUUUAUUUCGACAGCUUUUAUGACAUGACGACAAAAGAAGAAACAUCUUUCAUAGCAUGGCUCAACAAUAAGGAUUGUUUUCGAUUGUGUGCAAACUGGUUUAAGAGACAGCCUGUUUUUUUUUUUUUUCCCAAGAAAAUAUUUGAUUUCUUGUCAGAUAAUGUGCAGUGAUUAUAUCUUACAUGGCUUAAUAUUUUAGCUGUAUCAAAAACAAAAACAUCAGGUACAUUUAAGUCCCUUGAGUUGGAACAAGAUUGGGAUGUACAUUUUAUACAUAAAAUUCUACGUGAUUGUUUUUUUCUUUUUACUCUACACCUGAAGAAAUGACAGAAGAAAAAAAUAAAAAAGGGUGCAAAGGGUGUCAAAGGGUGCGAAAAGCAAAUACCUGCUCACAGAUUUAUUAAAUCUAACAUUUCAGUCUCGUCACCUUCAUCAGACAUAUUUGCACAUCAAAAGUUAGAGUAUUUUUUUUAAGAAAACUGUAACCAAUGAUUAUUAACAGUUCUGGAUUGUUACUUUACAAACUCUAACAUCUUUGGGUUUACAUGCUGAAGCAUUAUUAAAUGUAAUGUUGUAAUUUUGAGAUGUGAAGUUUUCUAGAAUGUGACUACAAACUUUAGCAUCUGUGGGAUCAAAUGAUAGAACAUUAUUUUAUUUAAUGUGGCAAUUGUUUCCUUAAGAUGCAAAAUGUUUUGGAUUGUGACUUUACAGUUUUUUUUCCCUUCUUUUUUAAUGAUUCUGAAUAAAGGGUGUCAUGAUUGCUUGUUAUGUUA